rnacentral:tRNA from 1 species
GCCUUGGUGGUGAAAUUGGUAGACGCACUGGACUCAAAAUCCAGCGGGGGCAACUCUGUGCCGGUUCGAUUCCGGCCCAAGGCA